UUUAUUUCGGGUUAAAGAUAUUCUUUAUUCUCAAAAGAAUUACAUAAAUUCACUUAAAUGAGAACAUUAAAAUAGUUAUAAUUAAUUCAGUUCGUGCAGUACAUGAAAAUAUUUUACAGUAACAACAUGCGGUGCUAUGACAAUAUAUUUAACAAAAACUAUAAAGAUUAUUAUUUUCUUAAAAUGUAUAAACAGGGUAGAUUACCACAGCAGAUCGCCUCGACCAGCCGCCGGCCGCUCGGUGGCGGGUAGAUAUUGGCGCCACAAGGAGCUAGUUCGCAUGGAUGUGGCAUUGGUAAAAUGUUUGCAGGUUGUUAGUUUCGUUGUUUUUUCGUUUCAUUUUUUAACUACUUAUCGAUAGACUUCAGGACGCACUUGAGCUCAUCAAACUUUCCCGGCUUAACAAUGCUGCGUACAUUGGCGUAGAGAAAGUUGAGAGAUGGGUAGAACGUUUCAAUUUGUGAGUAGUCGUUUGUAAUCUAGUAUGAAAUGUUCUCAAUUUGUAAGAUUCCUAUUCUGGUACUAGAUUGUUUGUUGCCGGCGCAGAGUUUUUUGGUAAGGAUUCUACUAUUGCUGGUUCUCCUUUUACAUAUUUAAUAGAAAUAUUAGUUUCGCCAUUGGAAAUUCGAUUUUCAAGUUCUUGUUUCAGGAUUUUUAAGGUUUCUCUCUGAUGUGGAGUUUGAUCACUGUAUAUCUUGACGUUAGCAGCUGCCAUGUUAUUUCGGUUUCUAAGUAUAACUUUAACAGUGUCCUCUGAUUUAAAAAUAGCUUUAAUGGGGCGGAUUUUGUCAUGUUGAUAUUUUCCUAGACGGUGUAUGUUUUCAGGUCCAGGACAGUUACUUGAGGCCAUUUUAGUAAGUUUUAUUAUUUCUUUUCUGUCAUAUUCCAAUCUUUCUAUAGCAUUUUCAGAGGUGGCUUCUAUGACACCGCAUACGAUUAUAUUUUUUGCUCGCUGACUACGUUCUUGACAUUCGGCAAUCAUCUUGUUAUAAUUCACGCGAUUCAUGGACGCAGAUUCUUGUGUAUGCAACGAUUUAAACUUAAGUCCUUCCACUUCUUUUUCAAGAAGUUCAAUUUUAUUUCCCAAUAUACUGGUAGACGUCAUCACGUUUGACACAUCCACCUUCAAUUUUUCCUGUUCGAUGAUGAUGGAUUCAAUAUUGUUACAUAUUUUAUCAACUUGCCCUUUCAUAGCACUGACAUCUUGGUACAAUCUGUUUAUAUUCUCAGUUUGGGCAACACUACUUGACGCCAUAAGAGACAUCAUUUCUGCCAUCUGUUUCUUCACAUCUAAGAUUUUUUCGAUGACACAAUCGUUGCUAUUAGAUGACCUUCGUUUAUUUCUAAAUGUAAUUUUUGGAGUAUCAAAAUCAGGAGUUACCGAUGGGUUUGGUUGAGAUCCUCCAUACGUUUGAGACACGCCGCCUCCAUUCGGUGAGCGUAGUACGCUCAUUGUAGAUCCGUGGCUCAAUUAGUGACUUUGUUGUAAGGUGCACGAAGAGGUCAGGCGAAUUUGUAGUCACUGCUCAAACUGUUAUGGUCGAAAUUGUAAUAGUAGUGGUUUUAAAAUAAGUUAAAUAAAUUUUAUUUUUCUCGCACUGCACUUCACGGCAAAUUGUAAUCAAGAGCAUAUGUUGCUUCAGUUUAAAAUGGUUUGUCGGUGAAAUGAAUGUUUUUGGAAAGAUCGCUAACACGUCUGUACUGCACGGAUGCACGGAGCAA